rnacentral:rRNA from 1 species
GACGAACGCUGACGGCGUGCCUAAUACAUGCAAGUCGAACGAGAGCGCCCGGUGCUUGCCCUGGUCAAUCUAGUGGCGAACGGGUGAGUAACACGUGGGUAACCUGCCCAUCAGAGGGGGAUAACAUCCGGAAACGGAUGCUAAAACCGCAUAGGUCUUCGAGCCGCAUGGCUUGAAGAGGAAAAGAGGCGCAAGCUUCUGCUGAUGGAUGGACCCGCGGUGCAUUAGCUAGUUGGUGAGGUAACGGCUCACCAAGGCCGUGAUGCAUAGCCGACCUGAGAGGGUGAUCGGCCACAUUGGGACUGAGACACGGCCCAAACUCCUACGGGAGGCAGCAGUAGGGAAUCUUCCGCAAUGGACGCAAGUCUGACGGAGCAACGCCGCGUGAGUGAAGAAGGUUUUCGGAUCGUAAAACUCUGUUGUUAGAGAAGAACAAGUGCUAGAGUAACUGUUAGCGCCUUGACGGUAGCUAACCAGAAAGCCACGGCUAACUACGUG